AGUCGAGCGAGGCCAGGGGGGCAACUCCCUGAGUCGAGCGGCGGACGGGUGAGUAACACGUGGGUAACCUACCCGGAAGUGGGGAAUACCUCGGGGAAACUCGAGCUAAUACCGCAUGAAAUCUCGAGGACGAAAGUCCUUUUGAUCAAAGCGGGGCCGCAAGGCCUCGUGCUACCGGAUGGGCCCGCGCCCGAUUAGCUAGUUGGCGAGGUAAUGGCUCACCAAGGCGACGAUCGGUAACCGGCCUGAGAGGGCGAUCGGUCACACCGGAACUGAGACACGGUCCGGACUCCUACGGGAGGCAGCAGUGGGGAAUCUUGCGCAAUGGGCGAAAGCCUGACGCAGCAACGCCGCGUGGAGGAUGAAGGCCCUUGGGUUGUAAACUCCUGUCGGCUGGGAAGAACUCGCUUGCGACUAAUACUCGCGAGCGUUGACUGUACCAGCAAAGGAAGCCCCGGCUAACUCUGUGCCAGCAGCCGCGGUAAUACAGAGGGGGCUAGCGUUAUUCGGAAUUAUUGGGCGUAAAGGGCGCGUAGGCGGCUUUGCGUGUCUCCCGUGAAAUCCCUCGGCUCAACCGAGGACGUGCGGAAGAAACUGCAAGGCUCGAGUCCGGAAGAGGGGGGCGGAAUUCCCAGUGUAGCGGUGAAAUGCGUAGAUAUUGGGAGGAACACCAGUGGCGAAGGCGGUCCCCUGGGCCGGAACUGACGCUGAGGCGCGAAAGCGUGGGUAGCAAACGGGAUUAGAUACCCCGGUAGUCCACGCCGUAAACGAUGGGCACUUGGUGUCGCGGGUAUCGACCCCUGCGGUGCC
rnacentral:rRNA from 1 species